CGCGAGUCCAACCAUGAGGACAAGCGUCAAACCGCUCAGUAACACGUAGCUAACCUACCUCGGGACGUGAAUACCCCCGGGAAACUGGGGCUAAUUCGCGAUAGGUAUGGAGGCCUGGAAUGGUUCCAUGCCCAAACGCACGGCAGUCAUGUUUGUCGUGUGCCCGAGGAUGGGGCUGCGGCCGAUCAGGCAGUUGGCGAGGUAACGGCUCACCAAACCUUUGACCGGUACGGGCCAUGAAAGUGGUAGCCCGGAGAUGGGCACUGAGACAGGGGCCCAGGCCCUACGGGGCGCAGCAGGCGCGAAAACUCCACAAUGUACGGAAGUACGAUGGGGUUAUCUCGAGUGCAGUCCGAUAAGGGCUUGCUUUUCCAUAGAGUAAUAUCCUGUGGGAAUAAGAGGGGGGCAAGACUGGUGUCAGCCGCCGUGGUAACACCAGGCCCUCGAGUGGUGGGGACUAUUA
rnacentral:rRNA from 1 species